UAGCGAGGACCGUAAAAUCACUCAUAAAUAAAAUAUUAUCGGGUAAGAGAUAACAGUAUAUAUAGUGUGUAUGUUGGCGGAGCUACAACAUAAUAAAGGGGUUCCACUUGCUUAAUUUACUCUGGUUUGAAUCGAAUUUAGCUUGAUAUGGGUGACUAAGUUUAAACUGACGGGGUAUAUAUAUGGUGAAAAUAUAUAAACUAUAGCUAUUUUUUUAACCGGGUUCGUGGGCACCCUCCUAGCUAUACAUAGCUCUGCCCCUGCGUAUGUAGAAAAAGUAAUGUACAAUUGCGGUGGAAAUAUAAUUAGGAUCGAAAUGGUAGGGACCAAAGAGACGGUGUAACUGGAGGGGGAAGAAGAUCACACCAAUGGAUCAAAAGGUGCAAU
rnacentral:sRNA from 1 species